GGUGAAACAACACUGUCAAGCACAUCGGCCACCAAAAUCUACCUUAAUCUAGAUAUACCAGAAGUUCACAAAUUCCACAGCAACAUGUCCUAUCCAAGUGAGGUAACAAUCCUUGAUGAUUUGCGGGACUCAGAGAUGCCAAUAGCACUGAUCCCACAAAAUAAUCAAAAGACAAUUUCAGAACUCAUCUCUCUCGAUAAAAAAACAAAUAUGGGGAAAAAAUUCACUACUGUGGGUUCAAUAACAGAGAUAGACGCA